AAAAAGGUAAGCUAAAUUUAAGCUACUGGGUUCAUACCCCAUUUAUAAAGACUUUCUUUCCUUUUUA
rnacentral:tRNA from 1 species